CCUUUCUGAUAUAUUUUUACAUCAGAUAUAGAUACAUAUUUAGUUAUUGAUCAGAUACUACGGCAUUGUUUGGUACAUCUCUACACUGGAUCUGGAUACAGAUUUAAGAACUGGAUACAGAUUUGGAUAUUGAUAGAAUAGUAAUAUCAUGUCUGAUAUUUCUUCGUCGAAUCUGGAUACAUAUUUAAAUAUUGAUCAAAUACUAAGAUCCUGUUUAAUAAUAUUUAAUUUCAUCUUCGUUGAAACAAACAUAAUUUAAUUAAAAAAAAGUAAAUCCCUUCAAUGA
rnacentral:lncRNA from 1 species